UCUACCUUCACCGACAACCCUAACACCGAAGCCUACAGUAGAAUUGAUACUGGCUCAGGCAGGGUUAGGGAAAAAAGUGGUGACAAUAGCAGAGGACUGCAAACACAUGGAUAUGGUAACAAUUAUGGAGGAAGAGUUCCCCAAACUUCAACCACUACAAGGACGGUGGAUGUUUUAUAAAGCAACCGGAGGAAGUGGCCAGAGAAGAAUGACUCUUAUCUCCAUGGACACAGAGGGUUACUCUGGUCGGCAAAUUCGGUCUGUCUCGAACAGUGGCAAAAAUGUCCUUUUUUUAGUGCCCCUUCAGGAG